GACAGAGGCCCCAAGCGUUAGGCGGAAUCACUGGGCUUAAAGCGUGUGUAGGCGGAUGCCUAAGUACCUUGUGAAAUCCCACGGCUCACCCGUGGAACUGCUGGGUAUACUGGGCGUCUUGGGCCAUUCAGGGGCAACUGGAACAAGCGGUGGAGCGGUGAAAUGCGUAGAUAUCGCUUGGAACGCCGAAGGUGAAAACAGGCUGCUGGGGUUGUGCCGACGCUGAGACACGAAAGCCAGGGGAGCAAACGGG
rnacentral:rRNA from 1 species